UCUUCUAUUAUACAAAUCUAGGAUUUUUUCCAGCACUAUAAAUAAUAGCAAUUACAUAUUUUUUCUAUUUAAAUUUAUGAUUCAAUUUCAUCAGAAACUGCAGUGAAAGGUGGCCUUGAGGGAUUCUUUUGAAAACACAGCUCUAACAGAUUUUCUUCCUUAUGGUCAGAUUUGUUUCUAAAUUACUGUCAGGUUUCCAUUAACUACAGGUUUCCAUUAACUACAUUCUGUUUUCACUUCUUUGAAGAUGUUCUGAGACAAAGUGACGUUAGAAAGACUUCUGAAAAACAUACAACUGGUCUGAUUUAACCUGAGUAUUGACAUGUUUCCUAGGAUUUGCAAGCCACAUGAAGAAUUCUCCUAUCAUUGAUUUAGAGAAAGUCUUUAGAAGUUCUGUUCUUGUUCCAGUUGUACCCAGGAGCACAAGGCAAGAGAAUUUUGCCCAGACAGAGACUGUGCACAGGUGGGUGGUGGUAAUAACAAAAUGAGAAGACACAUAAAGGUCAUAAUUAGAACUACAAAUUGGCUUCCCUUCACCACUUUUACACAUUGAUAAACUUAAACAGUAGAGGUUCUGAAUUACUAAGAGAAGAGAAUUAUUCUUCAUACAUCCUAGAGAGCCAUCAGAUAAACCUUGAACAUUCUUUAAAAGAUAGAAAAUAUUUGGACACAGAAAAGAGAAGACAAUGGACAUUCCAAACAAGAGUAGUCUCAUAAGCAUGAACUCUGAGUGACAGUGUUCUGGAUGGACUCAGAGGAAUGGACUUGUUAGGGUGAAGGGUUCAUCUGGAAAAAUCAUAGGACUAUGGUUUGGAAAAAGAAUAGAGAAAGGUUUUAAUAACAUUUUAGAGCCUGAUUAUUUCUCCCAAAAUCAUCAAGCAGAGCCUGAGGA
rnacentral:lncRNA from 1 species